GAGUUGGGCCUGCUCGGUGAAUAUUUUUAACAGCUGCGGUAUUUUAACUGUACUAAGGUAGCAUAAUAAUUUGCCUUAUAAUUUGAGGCUAGAAUGAAUGGUUUGACGAAGGUUAAUCUGUCUCCAUUUUAUUUUUUAGAAAUUAAUUUUCAUAGUGAAAAAGCUUGAAUUUUUUAAAGGGACGAGAAGACCCUAUUGAGCUUAUAAUUUUAUUACUAUUAUGGUUAUUGAAUUUAUCAUUGUAGUAUAUAAAUUUUAAUUGGGGUGAUUAAGGAAUAAAUUUUUAUAAUGUAACUUCCUUAGAUUAUUAUAUUGUUAAAUUAAGUAACCGAUGUGAUUAGCACAAUGUGUGUUAUGUAUUGCUUAUAAUAUAGUUACCAUAGGGAUAACAGCGUAAUUUACUUAGAGAGUUCUUAUUGAAAAGUAAGAUUGCGACCUCGAUGUUGGAUUAAAGUAACCUUAAGGUGCAGAAGCUUUAUAAGGUAAAUCUGUUCGAUUUUUAAAACUUU
rnacentral:rRNA from 1 species